UAGGGAAUCUUCCGCAAUGGGCGAAAGCCUGACGGAGCAACGCCGCGUGAGUGAAGAAGGAUUUCGGUUCGUAAAGCUCUGUUGUUAGGGAAGAAUGAUUAUGUAGUAACUAUACAUAGUAGAGACGGUACCUAACCAGAAAGCCACGGCUAACUACGUGCCAGCAGCCGCGGUAAUACGUAGGUGGCAAGCGUUGUCCGGAAUUAUUGGGCGUAAAGCGCGCGCAGGUGGUUUAAUAAGUCUGAUGUGAAAGCCCACGGCUCAACCGUGGAGGGUCAUUGGAAACUGUUAAACUUGAGUGCAGGAGAGAAAAGUGGAAUUCCUAGCGUAGCGGUGAAAUGCGUAGAGAUUAGGAGGAACACCAGUGGCGAAGGCGGCUUUUUGGCCUGUAACUGACACUGAGGCGCGAAAGCGUGGGGAGCAAACAGGAUUAGAUACCCUGGUAGUCCACGCCGUAAACGAUGAGUGCUAAGUGUUGGUCUCAUAAGAGAUCAGUGCUGCAGCUAACGCAUUAAGCACUCCGCCUGGGGGGUACGACCGCAAGGUUG
rnacentral:rRNA from 1 species